rnacentral:rRNA from 1 species
CCUACGGGUGGCAGCAGUGAGGAAUAUUGGUCAAUGGACGCGAGCCUGAACCAGCCAAGCCGCGUGAAGGAUGACGGCCCUAUGGUUUGUAAACUUCUUUUAUAAGGGAAUAAAACGUGGCACGAGUUCCUUUUUGCGUGUACUUUAUGAAUAAGGAACGGCUAACUCCGUGCCAGCAGCCGCGGUAAUACGGAGGGUCCGAGCGUUAUCCGGAUUUAUUGGGUUUAAAGGGAGCGUAGAUGGGUUGUUAAGUCAGUUGUGAAAGUUUGGGGCUCAACCGUAGAAGUGCAAUUGAUACUGGCAGGCUUGAGUGCGGUAGAGGUAGGCGGAAUUCGUGGUGUAGCGGUGAAAUGCGUAGAUAUCACGAAGAACCCCGAUGGCGAAGGCAGCUUGCUGGACUGUGACUGACGUUGAGGCACGAAAGUGUGGGUAGCAAACAGGAUUAGAUACCCGAGUAGUC